ensembl:rRNA 5S_rRNA 5S ribosomal RNA
CAUUAUCACCAUACCACCCUGAACACGCCUGAUCUCAUCCAUUCUCGGAAGCUAAGCAGGGUCCAACCUGGCUAGUACUUGGACGAGAGAUCUUUCCCCUCAUCCCUACACGCUUUUGGAAGAGGGCAUUAAUUA